UGGGGAAUUUUGGACAAUGGGCGAAAGCCUGAUCCAGCAAUGCCGCGUGUGUGAAGAAGGCCUUCGGGUUGUAAAGCACUUUUGUCCGGAAAGAAAUCCUUGGCUCUAAUACAGUCGGGGGAUGACGGUACCGGAAGAAUAAGCACCGGCUAACUACGUGCCAGCAGCCGCGGUAAUACGUAGGGUGCAAGCGUUAAUCGGAAUUACUGGGCGUAAAGCGUGCGCAGGCGGUUUGCUAAGACCGAUGUGAAAUCCCCGGGCUCAACCUGGGAACUGCAUUGGUGACUGGCAGGCUAGAGUAUGGCAGAGGGGGGUAGAAUUCCACGUGUAGCAGUGAAAUGCGUAGAGAUGUGGAGGAAUACCGAUGGCGAAGGCAGCCCCCUGGGGCCAAUACUGACGCUCAUGCACGAAAGCGUGGGGAGCAAACAGGAUUCAGAUACCCUGGUAGUCCACGCCCUAAACGAUGUCAACUAGUUGUUGGGGAUUCAUUUUCCUUAGUAACGUAGCUAACGCGUGAAGUUGACCGCCUGGGGAGUACGGUCGCAAGAUUAAAACUUAAAUGAAUUGACGGGGU
rnacentral:rRNA from 1 species